rnacentral:rRNA from 1 species
AGAGUUUGAUCAUGGCUCAGGACGAACGCUGGCGGCGUGCCUAACACAUGCAAGUCGAGCGGGGACAUGCGACGGAGCGGAAGUUUUCGGAUGGAAGUGAAGAUGUAUGUUCUAGCGGCGGACGGGUGAGUAACGCGUGAGCAACCUGUCCUUCACAGGGGGAUAACACAGCGAAAGUUGUACUAAUACCGCAUAAGACCACAGCAGGACAUCCUGCAGGGGUCAAAGGAGUAAUCCGGUGAAGGGUGGGCUCGCGUCCGAUUAGAUAGUUGGUGAGGUAACGGCCCACCAAGUCAACGAUCGGUAGCCGACCUGAGAGGGUGAUCGGCCACAUUGGGACUGAGACACGGCCCAAACUCCUACGGGAGGCAGCAGUGGGGAAUAUUGGGCAAUGGGGGGAACCCUGACCCAGCAACGCCGCGUGAGGGAAGAAGGUUUUCGGAUCGUAAACCUCUGUCCUUGGUGAAGAGGAAGAGACGGUAGCCAAGGAGGAAGCCCCGGCUAACUACGUGCCAGCAGCCGCGGUAAUACGUAGGGGCGAGCGUUGUCCGGAAUGAUUGGGCGUAAAGGGCGCGUAGGCGGCCCGGUAAGUCUGAAGUGAAAGUCCUGGUUUUAAGUUGAGAAUUGCUUUGGAUACUGUCGGGCUUGAGUGCAGAGAGGUAAGUGGAAUUCCUCAGUGUAGCGGUGAAAUGCGUAGAGAUUGGGGAGGAACACCAGUGGGCG